AUUGAACGCUGGCGGCAUGCCUUACACAUGCAAGUCGAACGGCAGCACGGGUGCUUGCACCUGGUGGCGAGUGGCGAACGGGUGAGUAAUACAUCGGAACAUGUCCUGUAGUGGGGGAUAGCCCGGCGAAAGCCGGAUUAAUACCGCAUACGAUCCACGGAUGAAAGCGGGGGACCUUCGGGCCUCGCGCUAUAGGGUUGGCCGAUGGCUGAUUAGCUAGUUGGUGGGGUAAAGGCCUACCAAGGCGACGAUCAGUAGCUGGUCUGAGAGGACGACCAGCCACACUGGGACUGAGACACGGCCCAGACUCCUACGGGAGGCAGCAGUGGGGAAUUUUGGACAAUGGGCGAAAGCCUGAUCCAGCAAUGCCGCAUGUGUGAAGAAGGCCUUCGGGUUGUAAAGCACUUUUGUCCGGAAAGAAAUCCUUGACUCUAAUACAGUCGGGGGAUGACGGUACCGGAAGAAUAAGCACCGGCUAACUACGUG
rnacentral:rRNA from 1 species